UACGUAGGGGGCAAGCGUUGUCCGGAAUCAUUGGGCGUAAAGAGCGUGUAGGCGGCUUGGUAAGUCCGCUGUGAAAGUCCAGGGCUCAACCCUGGAAUGCCGGUGGAAACUGUCAAGCUUGAGUCCGGAAGAGGCGAGUGGAAUUCCUGGUGUAGCGGUGAAAUGCGCAGAUAUCAGGAGGAACACCAAUGGCGAAGGCGGCUAUCUGGACCGUAACUGACGCUGAGGCGCGAAAGCGUGGGGAGCAAACAGG
rnacentral:rRNA from 1 species